rnacentral:rRNA from 1 species
AAUGAACGUUGGCGGCGUGGAUUAGGCAUGCAAGUCGAGCGAGAACCCGCAAGGGGGACAGCGGCAAACGGGGUAGGAAUGAUUGGUGACGUACCCUCGGGACGGGGAUAGCCACGGGAAACUGUGGGUAAUACCCGAUAAUCUCCCAGGUUUGAAGACCUGGGUGCAAAGGUGUGAUUCCACUGGAGGAGCGGCCAAUCUGGUAUUAGCUAGUUGGUAGGGUAACGGCCUACCAAGGCUACGAUGCCUAGGGGGUGUGAGAGCAUGGCCCCCACCACUGGGACUGAGAUACUGCCCAGACACCUACGGGUGGCUGCAGUCGAGAAUCUUCGGCAAUGGGCGAAAGCCUGACCGAGCGACGCCGCGUGCGGGAUGAAGGCCUUCGGGUUGUAAACCGCUGUCAGAGGGGAUGAAGUUCUAGGAGGUUCUCCUUCUAGAUUGACAGAGCCUCAGAGGAAGCACGGGCUAAGUAUGUGCCAGCAGCCGCAGUAAGAC